ACUGCUCAGUAACACGUGGACAACCUACCCUUUGGUCCGGUAUAAUCCUGGGAAACUGGGGAUAAUUCCGGAUAGGUCACAGAAGCUGGAAUGCACUGUGGCUCAAAGCUUUGGCGCCAAAGGAUGGGUCUGCGGCCUAUCAGGGUUGUAGUGGGUGUAAUGUACCUACUAGCCUACGACGGGUACGGGUUGUGAGAGUAAGAGCCCGGAGAUGGAUUCUGAGACACGAAUCCAGGCCCUACGGGGUGCAGCAGGCGCGAAAACUUUACAAUGCGGGAAACCGUGAUAAGGGAAUCUCGAGUGCCAGCAUAUAAUGUUGGCUGUCUGGAUGCCUAAAAAGCAUCUGUUAGCAAGGGCCGGGCAAGACCGGUGCCAGCCGUCGUGGUAACACCGGCGGCCCGAGUGGUAACCGCUUUUAUUGGGUCUAAAGGGUCUGUAGCCGGCCAGGUAAGUCCCUUGGGAAAUCUGGCAGUUUAACUGUCAGGCUGCUAGGGGAUACUGUUUGGCUUGGGACCGGGAGAGGUGAGAGGUACCUUGGGGGUAGGGGUGAAAUCUUGUGAUCCUCGAGGGACCACCAGUGGCGAAGGCGUCUCACCAGAACGGGUCCGACGGUAAGGGACGAAAGCUAGGGGUACGAACCGGAUUAGAUACCCGGGUAGUCCUAGCCGUAAACGAUGCUCGCUAGGUGUCAGUCACGGUGUGACCGUGAUUGGUGCCGUAGGGAAGCCGUGAAGCGAGCCACCUGGGAAGUAUGGCCGCAAGGCUGAAACUUAAAGGAAUUGGCGGGGGAGCAC
rnacentral:rRNA from 1 species